rnacentral:rRNA from 1 species
CUGCUGCCUUCCGUAGGAGUUUGGGCCGUGUCUCAGUCCCAAUGUGGCCGUUCACCCUCUCAGGCCGGCUACUGAUCGUCGCCUUGGUGGGCUUCUACCCCGCCAACCAGCUAAUCAGACGCGGAUCCAUCUUACACCACCGGAGUUUUUCACACUGAGCCAUGCGGCUCUGUGCGCUUAUGCGGUAUUAGCACCUAUUUCUAAGUGUUACUCCCCAGUGUAAGGCAGGUUAUCCACGCGUUACUCACCCG